rnacentral:rRNA from 1 species
GAUGAACGCUGGCGGCGUGCCUAAUACAUGCAAGUCGAGCGAACAGAUGAGGAGCUUGCUCCUCUGACGUUAGCGGCGGACGGGUGAGUAACACGUGGAUAACCUACCUAUAAGACUGGGAUAACUUCGGGAAACCGGAGCUAAUACCGGAUAAUAUAUUGAACCGCAUGGUUCAAUAGUGAAAGACGGUUUUGCUGUCACUUAUAGAUGGAUCCGCGCCGCAUUAGCUAGUUGGUAAGGUAACGGCUUACCAAGGCAACGAUGCGUAGCCGACCUGAGAGGGUGAUCGGCCACACUGGAACUGAGACACGGUCCAGACUCCUACGGGAGGCACCAGUAGGGAAUCUUCCGCAAUGGGCGAAAGCCUGACGGAGCAACGCCGCGUGAGUGAUGAAGGUCUUCGGAUCGUAAAACUCUGUUAUUAGGGAGGAACAAUUGUGUAAGUAACUAUGCACGUCUUGACGGUACCUAAUCAGAAAGCCACGGCUAACUACGUG